GAAUUAUAGGGCGUCUACUUGUAGAGCCUGACCUCCACUUCUAACACUGUGCACUUGAUGGCUUGGAAUUGAUGAAUUAGCUUCGGCUUUGAAUUCUUUUCCUUGCGGCUUCAUUUUAAACAUUAGUCAAAGUAUGUAACGAAAUAUCGAAACAAAAAAAAACUUUCAACAACGGAUCUCUUGGCUCU
rnacentral:misc_RNA from 1 species